GAGGAAGCCCGGUGCGAUUCCGGCGCGGUCCCGCCACUGUGAACCCCGCGGAGCGAUCCCGCGCCCGGGGUGAGUCAGGAACUC
rnacentral:ncRNA from 2 species